GGACGGAAUCCAUCCAUACCUUGUUGCUGGCGGUGCAGAUCGAAGCCGUUGGUGGAGGUUCUUCAAACCCCAGUCACCGACAUCCAUGAGAGAGGAGAAAGCCCUUUCUCCGCAAGCGUUUGGUGUGGACUGGUGUGAGGUUGGACAAGAUUCAUUACCAAGUGCACUCAUUUCACAUUGUCAGCUGUGAGAUCGCUUGAUCCUUCACCAACAUCAAAAGAGGUAAAUUUGGUAUUGUUCUUUUCCAUCUCUACUUACACCUUGCUGAGUGUCAUUACGGAUAGGGACGGUACAUCUCGCCCGGUCUACGGCAACCAAGAGGAUGCAAACAACUAUGUCACCAAGACGCACCACUUC